UUGAGGCCAAACGCAUGCAUGAACAGUUUGCUUAAUGGUUGCAAGCAUAGUUGAAAAAAACCGGACUGACCAGGGAGAUCAGACCGAAAAACCGGUGACCUUGGCUGAUUCGGGUUGAGAAUUGGACUGCACAAAGAACAAAAUCGAUGAGAAGUUGAGAACAGAUUGGACUCGGCGGAUUUUGUAAAAAUCGGUGAACCAACAGAUUUGAAAACUCGAACCGUUGAACGAAGUCCCACCGCGACCGCACCCUAGCUCUCUCACUCACUCACACUCUCUACUAGUCUCUAAACGGCACACCAUAGACAAAGAGAUAGAGCUAGGAGUUCACCGCCACCGCAUGCUCGAUGCCGUCAUUGCUCUUCUCGCGGGAUCUUCCAUGUCGUGUGCUCGCGUCUGGCCUCUCUCCUGAGGUCGGUCGGCUGCUCGCGCCUUCUCGCCUCCACGUAUGCUCGAGCGGUGUUUCCUGCUCGUGUCGUCACUGCGCCUCCCUCGCCUCUCUCCCUCCUUGCGUCUGUACUCGAACUUUAUCGUCUCUCGUGUGCUCGUCGCCGGCGAUCUUGGUCCUUAUCCCUCAUGUUCUGCUAGUUCUUCCUGUUGUAAACAUAAGGAGGAGGACUACCGCAAUGCCGCUAGCUUAUCCGCGUCACAUUCUUGCUCCUUCUCUUUCAUGCUCUACUCGUUGAAAGACCACCGAAGUAAAAAUGACAAGAGUUAAGGUGAAAAAAAAAUACAAUCAAACCAAGGAUUUGAGAUGUUCUACGCGACUAUUAAUGAAAAGUUUGAAAAAAUGAGUGAGGCAAAUAAGGCCAUCGUUUGCGAAUUAGGAUUUGGUGGUCUCAUGCACAUCCGGCCGAUGAAUGUGCCACACAAACUCUUGAAGGAGUUGGUUAAUUCCUUUAAUUUGGACAAAAAUAAAUUAGACACAAGGCACGGUUCGUUGAAAAUUAAACCCAAAAAAAUAGGAGCUACCCUUGGUCUCAAUGCAUCAGAUAACUGAUUAUAGAAAAUCUUUAUACUUGUAUUUUGUAAUAUCUUAGUCUGAUCUCAUGUAAUCAAGAAACAAAUUUAGUUGUAUAUGAUUGGUAUU